ACAGGACGUCGAUCCCGGGGGACACGAUCGACUGUGUGAAAGAGCUACUGGAGAGGAUACAACGACUGCAGUUGGAGUUAUAGGAGUCACGCUGUUGUGGGUAUGGCUGCCGAGUGUGUUCCAGCAGCAGAACCCCAACGAGAUGCUGGCCAGGAAAAGCUCCAAGGUGAGGAAUUGAAGCCACCCACUCUCGCCAGAGGAGAUCCGCUUCAUUUUUGCUAUAACUUGAAAAAUAGUGAGAGCAAGAUACUUUGAGUAUCAUUUUCUAUGAGGAAUCGAUGAGUAGCAAUUUGAUUAGUUUGGUAGGUGUAACACACAUAUUCACACAAUUCUAAGGCAAAAAAACUACGGUUAGCUCGCAAACUCUUGUUUGCUAAAAGUUUAGAAUGAAAGACCGGUGAGUUGAUUGUUUCAACAAAGCAUGGUUAAUUGAUUUAAGAAUGUGUGAAAUGAAUUUGAAAGGCAUUUUGGACAAACAUCCUGGUGAUGGUGUUGUGUGUGUGCCGCUACUGUUUUGUGCUACGUGCUACUACUUCCAUGCCGCUAUGUCGGGGGGAUAAACCCCAGGCAGGCAACGGAACCCGGAUCCUUUUAAAAAACAACGGGGCUAGCAUUGCCCCUCAAUCCGGCUCGCAUUCGGCCGGGUCGCUCGACCCUGCCAAGUCCCUCGACCUGGCCAAGUCGCUCGACCCGGCCAGACUCCUCAACUCGGCCCCUACAACCAAUUCAAGACUUCCCUUGGUGUGCUGUCCAACCCGGCCGAGGGUUAGCGGCCGUCCCAUCCCGGCCGUACGAUGGGACAAAUCUCCACCAACUGAUGACCGAAGCCACAGUGCCCCGCCCAUGCCUCUGGUCAGCCGGGCGAGGCAACAAUGCCCCCACCUACCCACUGACCAGGGCCGGCGUGGCAACAGUGCUAUCAUCGUCACCCAUGGUGCCAGCAAGCGGCGACCUGACGGAGCGCCCCUGUAGCCGACUCGACUCGGCCACGCCCUGACGAUCGACAAGACAGCGCACAGUGCCCCUAGGCGCAUGGGGCCCGCGCCCGGGGAACCCGGCGAGACCUGGCACCCGGCAGGUCCCAGCACCGGGUUCCCGGACACUGACAACCCGGCCCUACGGCCUUGUAACAUUACCCUUGUACCCCUGGGGGGUUGACCUAUAAAACCCCCAGGAGCCCUCAUGCAUACGGGCAGAAUACAUUCACCCAUCCACCCACUCACACACCUAGCAAGCAACACUCGAGGAGAGGGAGCUGCCUAAGCCUUGGCCAGCCUCCCUUCUCCCUCCAUACAGCUCCAGGAGCAACUCUGUACUCAUAUAUAUCAACUACACUCGGCAGGACUAGGGGCGUUAUCUCUCCGGAGAGCCCCGAACCUGGGUAUGUCUUGCGCCUCGCGCUCGCUCAUGCCGACCUUGCCUCUGGAGCCCACCAGUGCCCUCGAGCCUCCUCCUAUCUUUAGCCAUCCCAUGGCAUCUGCCGUGCGCCCACCACGACACGCUAUGUGAGGGAUUCAAAGAUUCAGAUAUGAGAGAGGCUACUGCUGGGAUAUGGAUUACUACAAAUUGUUUGCUGCUCUGAGUUGUAUGUUAUUGAUGCUCUGAUUUGUGUGUUGCUGCUUGGGUGAGGAAGGACAGUGCUGCUGCAAUAUAUGGAAGUACUAGAGAUAAUGAUGCUGCUACUAAUAGAUUGUUGCUAUUUUUACCUUUUGCAGUUGCUAAUUCUGCUCUGGGUUAUGUAGUUUGUAUUAGCUAUAUCUUUACCAAGUACAAAUUAUUUUGAAAGCAUGGUUGAUUUGUUCCUUCUUUUGUGUUAUUUUGUGGUCCCUUUUGCAAUGAUAUGACUUCAUAUUUUGAUGCAUUCUUCAAAACUGUAGGCUAUUAGCCAUGCUCAUUUGAAGAUUGAGUUAUCAAUAUCAAUUAUGGUUACCUAUGGGUGUCUAAUCAGGUCUGCAAGGUAGUGUUAUUUCUCUUCUAUUUUUGUGAUUCUUCAUAUGGCAGAAAAUGGUAUGGUCAGCUUAUAUCAUAAGUUCCAUAAGAAGGACUACAUGAUAUGAUAUCAUAUGAUUCUUAUAUGAGCUCUAUUGUGUUUUCCAUUAUUUGUCUAAUGCAAAAAGCUAUUGUUGUGCACAAAUGUUGGUACAGUAGACAUUCUUUUGGGUGUGUGUGUAUCUGUUCCCUUAGUUGCAGUGAGUAUACAUCUGAACCAUCAUUCCGUUUUACUGCUGGAAAUAUUGGUCCCAUUCCACAUAAUCAGUCUAAGCCUAAUGUAUUUUUCCUAAUAUUUAUUGUAGUAUUAACCCAUGAGCUAUGAGAAGGGUAUAUUUCAUCUUUACAAGUUCCAUCAGUAUUAGUUCUCCAUUUUACAUCAAAAAAGUGUAAGCGUACAGACAGAAUACAUCAUCCAUAUGUCUAGAAUUGCAGAAUCCCGUAUACAUAUUUAGAGUAAUUUCUCUUUGAUGAAUACGUUUCACUUAAAAAAAUGUGAAUGGAAGGUCUUUAAUAUUUUAUCACCCUUUGCAUACUUAUUUUGAAUAUCCCAUGUGCGUCGUCGGUGCCCAUGUACAUGGAUGAAGGUAGUAAGCAAAUGCCAAGCUGGACUGCCUGUGUAUCCUUGGGGUCAGAUUAUUCCUGGUCGAAGUCGAUGGCUUCAAGGUGAGAAAGUGAAUAGAAAUUCCUUCUCCUUAUAGAUAUUUGCAUCCUCGGGUAAUUUUUCUAAGAAGCGACCGAUCGGCUCAUGGAUAAUUAUUGUAUUUUUUAUUUAAGUCAAGUCUUUUUACUUGCUUCUAUAGGUUCAUAGUGAGCAUAUCCAAGAUAUGCAUCAUUUAUCCAUUUGUUUUCUUUUAAGGUUCUGAUGCAGUUACUUGGAAAAAAAAUCAAAAUCUGUAUCCACAAUGUUCCGGACAUUAAGGUGAACAUGUACAAAGCAUUUUUCUGAAUUUGUAUGUGUAGAAGCGUUUCUCAUCAAGUUCCCUCGGUGUAAGGUGUUCAUAUUUAUUUAUACCACAACUCUAUUGUAGUAGCUAUACAUGUCAAUAUUUUGAGCCUACUUAUGGAGACUACCUUCUAUAUGUGGUACAAGUUAAUUCAAUCCAGCUCAGCCAUCGUAGGCAUUCUGGCAGGUGUGUUGUUCGGAGGAGGGACCAGACAUCCUAAACAGGAGAUGAGAGUGAAAUACUUCGAUAUUUAUCACAUUAUUUUUCAGCUGAUCACUAAUUUCCGGGACCGAGUUUCAAGCUUUGCAUUGAUCUCUAUUUGGUUUUGCUGCACUUAUGUCAUCUACAAUUUGCAGAUAUUCUCACAAUUUUUUGUGUUAUGAUUAGGAGUUGGGUCUUGGGAAGCAUACAGGUGUCCUGAAGCAAGCAUUGUGCACAGGCCGUUCAGUGUACCACACUACUAUUUUGCUUGCAUGUUCAUACGAGUACUGAUGAAUGAAAUAUAGCUUCAAGAGUGCCUCUUCUAUAAACAGAAUAUCAAAUUGGUUGUUUAAUGUGCUACUAUGUAAUUAGAAAGUUAAUCAUAUGUUAGCUAAAUGUUUGCAUUGUAAAGUGUACUUACCUUUUCUUCUUUUGACAAUGGGCUGCAAACAUUUCCAAUUUUGAUGUCUUUCUACUUUGGGAAUUUUCCUCAUCAAAUGCACUCUAUUUU
rnacentral:lncRNA from 1 species